UACGUAGGGUGCGAGCGUUAAUCGGAAUUACUGGGCGUAAAGCGCGCGCAGGCGGUUCGCUAAGACCGAUGUGAAAUCCCCGGGCUUAACCUGGGAACUGCAUUGGUGACUGGCGGGCUAGAGUAUGGCAGAGGGGGGUAGAAUUCCACGUGUAGCAGUGAAAUGCGUAGAGAUGUGGAGGAAUACCGAUGGCGAAGGCAGCCCCCUGGGCCAAUACUGACGCUCAUGCACGAAAGCGUGGGGAGCAAACAGG
rnacentral:rRNA from 1 species